UUAAAUUGAAGAGUUUGAUCAUGGCUCAGAUUGAACGCUGGCGGCAGGCCUAACACAUGCAAGUCGAACGGUAACAGGAAGCAGCUUGCUGCUUCGCUGACGAGUGGCGGACGGGUGAGUAAUGUCUGGGAAACUGCCUGAUGGAGGGGGAUAACUACUGGAAACGGUAGCUAAUACCGCAUAACGUCGCAAGACCAAAGAGGGGGACCUUCGGGCCUCUUGCCAUCGGAUGUGCCCAGAUGGGAUUAGCUAGUAGGUGGGGUAACGGCUCACCUAGGCGACGAUCCCUAGCUGGUCUGAGAGGAUGACCAGCCACACUGGAACUGAGACACGGUCCAGACUCCUACGGGAGGCAGCAGUGGGGAAUAUUGCACAAUGGGCGCAAGCCUGAUGCAGCCAUGCCGCGUGUAUGAAGAAGGCCUUCGGGUUGUAAAGUACUUUAAGCGGGGAGGAAGGCGAUAAGGUUAAUAACCUUGUCGAUUGACGUUACCCGCAGAAGAAGCACCGGCUAACUCCGUGCCAGCAGCCGAGGUAAUACGGAGGGUGAAAGCGUUAAUCGGAAUUACAGGGCGUAAAGCGCACGAAAGCGGUAGGGAAAGUCGGAAGAGAACUCCCCGGGCGAAACCUGAGAAC
rnacentral:rRNA from 1 species